AUACGGAGGAUGCAAGCGUUAUCCGGAUUUAUUGGGUUUAAAGGGUGCGUAGGCUGUUCGGAAAGUCAGGGGUGAAAGCCCGGCGCCUAACGCCGGAACUGCCUUUGAUACUUCCGAGCUGGAAUACGGAUGCCGUGGGAGGAAUGAGUAGUGUAGCGGUGAAAUGCAUAGAUAUUACUCAGAACACCGAUUGCGAAGGCAUCUCACGAAUCCGUCAUUGACGCUGAGGCACGAAAGCGUGGGGAUCAAACAGGAUUAGAUACCCUGGUAGUCCACGCAGUAAACGAUGAUGACUAACCGUCGGCGAUACACAGUCGGUGGCCAAGCGGAAGCGAUAAGUCAUCCACCUGGGGAGUACGUUCGCAAGAAUGAAACUCAAAUGAAUUGGCGGGG
rnacentral:rRNA from 1 species